AUUGAACGCUGGCGGCAGGCCUAACACAUGCAAGUCGAGCGGAUGAGUGGAGCUUGCUCCAUGAUUCAGCGGCGGACGGGUGAGUAAUGCCUAGGAAUCUGCCUGGUAGUGGGGGACAACGUUUCGAAAGGAACGCUAAUACCGCAUACGUCCUACGGGAGAAAGCAGGGGACCUUCGGGCCUUGCGCUAUCAGAUGAGCCUAGGUCGGAUUAGCUAGUUGGUGGGGUAAAGGCCUACCAAGGCGACGAUCCGUAACUGGUCUGAGAGGAUGAUCAGUCACACUGGAACUGAGACACGGUCCAGACUCCUACGGGAGGCAGCAGUGGGGAAUAUUGGACAAUGGGCGAAAGCCUGAUCCAGCCAUGCCGCGUGUGUGAAGAAGGUCUUCGGAUUGUAAGGCACUUUAAGUUGGGAGGAAGGGCAGUAAGUUAAUGCCUUGCUGUUUUGACGUUACCAACAGAAUAAGCACCGGCUAACUUCGUGCCAGCCGCCGCCGUAAAAC
rnacentral:rRNA from 1 species